rnacentral:rRNA from 1 species
ACUCCUACGGGAGGCAGCAGUGGGGAAUUUUGGACAAUGGGCGAAAGCCUGAUCCAGCAAUGCCGCGUGUGUGAAGAAGGCCUUCGGGUUGUAAAGCACUUUUGUCCGGAAAGAAAUCCUUGGCUCUAAUACAGUCGAGGGAUGACGGUACCGGAAGAAUAAGCACCGGCUAACUACGUGCCAGCAGCCGCGGUAAUACGUAGGGUGCGAGCGUUAAUCGGAAUUACUGGGCGUAAAGCGUGCGCAGGCGGUUUGCUAAGACCGAUGUGAAAUCCCCGGGCUCAACCUGGGAACUGCAUUGGUGACUGGCAGGCUAGAGUAUGGCAGAGGGGGGUAGAAUUCCACGUGUAGCAGUGAAAUGCGUAGAGAUGUGGAGGAAUACCGAUGGCGAAGGCAGCCCCCUGGGCCAAUACUGACGCUCAUGCACGAAAGCGUGGGGAGCAAACAGGAUUAGAAACCCUAGUAGUCC